CGUGGCUUCCCGAUAACCUGUCCGCACACUGUAUGGCUUGCAAAGCUCCUUUCACCAUCAUACGUCGUCGCCAUCACUGCAGAAACUGCGGAAAAAUAUUUUGCUCCCGGUGUAGCUCGAAUUCUGUCCCGUUACCUCGCUACGGACAUAACAAACCCGUGAGAGUGUGCAAUCAGUGCUUUUCUUAUCAGCUAGCUUGUCUCGUGGUUAGUUCGCAGUACUGACGACGCAUGUUCCUAGAUACAUUUGCUAAUUUUCAAGUUUUAUGGGUUCUUUACAAAAUUUAUCACGUAUUACUGGUAGUACAUCCCAAAUUGUGAGCGUAUCCCCGGAUGCGCAUGUCAAAAAUGACCGUCAACAUUGUGAUAGUAGUGAAUGUAUGUGUACGUACGUCUUCCUCCACCUAAUUUUAGGAAUAAUUGCUCAAGUGAUUUGGCAAUUAGUUGUUUAAUUCUCCAGGCUUUACAAAAGACAUCGUAAACCUUGUCCGAACAAAAAAAAAAUACAAGAUCGGGACGUUUAACUUCCAAGAUUUAAAUGUGUAAUUAGUAGCAAGUGUAGAUUGUAUAAAUUUUCAUUUCAAUACUUGUGCUUUUGCAUAAUUUAUAUAUAUACAUAAUAUACAUAUUAUUUGCUAAUAAUUUCCUUUGUUUUCUUGGAAAAUGUUGGUGAGUGUACAUAAUGGAUCAGGAAUAUAUAUAUAAUUAUGUUAAAAAUUAUAAAAAUGUUAUAAACAAGGUAUAUAAGAACAUUCAAUUUCUGUGAUAAAUAAAUUUUUGUGAAAACUUCA